GCUAAUGAGCGUGGUGUUGCGGUCACCAUCCUUCGGCGGCAAUGUAAUGGGAAUGUUGCCCGUCGUGGACGACAGGUGACUGUACGGCAGCUGCGGCGGAGACAGAGUGCUUCUGGGCCAUGGUGGAGGGGCGCCAGGGACUGGCGGUGUAUCCGGCGGUGGCUUGACAGGCCCCGGCAGCUGUGGAAGCGCGUUCAUGCGGUAUGUCAACACUAUUCUGUACCGCAGCGCGCUCCAACCACAGCGCGCCGUCUGGAUCCGAAAUCUGGCCACGCCGCCGGCCUCAAGCUCCACAUUUGUUAGGUACCACGUGACGCGAGCCACACGGCUGCCAUCG
rnacentral:lncRNA from 1 species